UGGGGAAUUUUGGACAAUGGGCGAAAGCCUGAUCCAGCAAUGCCGCGUGUGUGAAGAAGGCCUUCGGGUUGUAAAGCACUUUUGUCCGGAAAGAAAUGGCUCUGGUUAAUACCUGGGGUCGAUGACGGUACCGGAAGAAUAAGGACCGGCUAACUACGUGCCAGCAGCCGCGGUAAUACGUAGGGUCCAAGCGUUAAUCGGAAUUACUGGGCGUAAAGCGUGCGCAGGCGGUUGUGCAAGACCGAUGUGAAAUCCCCGAGCUUAACUUGGGAAUUGCAUUGGUGACUGCACGGCUAGAGUGUGUCAGAGGGGGGUAGAAUUCCACGUGUAGCAGUGAAAUGCGUAGAGAUGUGGAGGAAUACCGAUGGCGAAGGCAGCCCCCUGGGAUAACACUGACGCUCAUGCACGAAAGCGUGGGGAGCAAACAGGAUUAGAUACCCUGGUAGUCCACGCCCUAAACGAUGUCAACUAGUUGUUGGGGAUUCAUUUCCUUAGUAACGUAGCUAACGCGUGAAGUUGACCGCCUGGGGAGUACGGUCGCAAGAUUAAAAGCUCAAAUGAA
rnacentral:rRNA from 1 species